rnacentral:pre_miRNA from 1 species
CAUGUACUCCCUCCGUCCGGAAUUACUUGUCAUCAAAAUGGAUGUGUCUAGAACUAAAAUACAUCUAGAUACAUCCAUUUCAAUGACAAGUAUUUUCGGACGGAGGGAGUACAAG